GUUUCUGGCUGGGUGGUAGGUCAGGUCUGGGACCUAGGGACUCAGUGCAGCAGAGAACGAAGCUCUGCCUCUCUUUUUGGACCAGGAAUAACUACAUGAUGCUCCAUGUUGUUGCCUUCUCAAUCUGGGUGUUCUCCCUGGGUGUGCACACAUCCUUCUCCAACAGGCUAUGACAAAGGAUGGGGGUAAUUUAAACUCCCUUGGGGGAAAAGAAUCACUUUCUAAUUAAAGUCCAAAUUGAAAACUGCUUUCCUACUUUGGGAAGAAAUAUCUAUCUAUGAUACUUCUGACUUCCUGCAGAUAAAUAUCAUUAGACAACCUCCUCUUUCCUGGCUGUGGCAGCUCAGAAUGUAUUACAAAGACUUUCACAUCAUUAUUUCAUUGAAUCUUCACAAUUACUUCGAGAAAUACGCAAGGCAAAUAUACUGUAUUUUUCAAAUUCACAAGAAAGGAACUAACUGAAAAACUUCAAACUUUUGGUUCAAACGAUUGGCUGGGCACGGUGGCUCACGCCUGUAAUCCCAGCACUUUGGGAGGCCGAGACGGGCAGAUCACGAGGUCAGGAGAUCGAGACCAUCCACAAUUUUACAACUUUAUUGUCUUUGUAGACAGGACCUGGAACAGAAGAGGUGCUUUACAAAGGUCUUCUGAGUGGAUAAAUAAAUGGAUGGCUGAAUGCUGUUUUGAGCAUUAAG